GAAAUAGGAAGAAUCAAGUAAAAGCUGCUAACUUAUUAUUUUAACAGUUAAACUCUGUUAAUAUUUCU
rnacentral:tRNA from 1 species